rnacentral:rRNA from 1 species
UGAACGCUGGCGGUAUGCUUAACACAUGCAAGUCGAACGGUAACAGCAGAGCUUGCUCUGGCUGACAAGUGGCGGACGGGUGCGUAACGCGUGGGAAUCUACCUUGUAGUGGGGGAUAGCCCGGAGAAAUCCGGAUUAAUACCGCAUAAUCUCUACGGAGCAAAGUGGGGGAUCUUCGGACCUCACGCUAUUAGAUGAGCCCGCGUUAGAUUAGCUUGUUGGUGAGGUAAUGGCUCACCAAGGCUACGAUCUAUAGCUGGUUUGAGAGGAUGAUCAGCCACACUGGGACUGAGACACGGCCCAGACUCCUACGGGAGGCAGCAGUGGGGAAUAUUGGACAAUGGGCGCAAGCCUGAUCCAGCAAUACCGCGUGUGUGAAGAAGGCCUGAGGGUUGUAAAGCACUUUCAAUAGAGACGAAAAGCUCAGAGUUAAUAGCUCUGGGUCUUGACUUAACCUAUAGAAGAAGCACCGGCUAACUCC